rnacentral:rRNA from 1 species
AGCGAACGCUGGCGGCAGGCUUAACACAUGCAAGUCGAACGGGCACUUUCUGGUGUCAGCGGCGGACGGGUGAGGAACGCGUGGGAACGUGGCCUUAGGUUCGGAAUAACUCAGUGAUACGUGAGCUAAUACCGGAUACGCCCUUUUGGGGAAAGGCGUGCUGCGGGAGGAUCGGCCGGCGUCUGGUUAGCUAGUUGGUGAGGUGACGGCUCACCAAGGCGACGAUCAGUAGCGGGUCUGAGAGGAUGAGCAGCCGCCCUGGACCUGAGACACGGCCCAGACUCCUACGAGAGGCAGCAGUAGGGACUAUUGGACAAUGGGCGCAAGUCUGAUCCGGCCAUGCCGCGUGAGUGCUGAAGGCCUUAAAAUUGUAACGCUCUUUUAUUCGGGACGAUUAUGCCCGUACCGCAAAGAUAAGCCCCGGCUUACUUCCUG